rnacentral:rRNA from 1 species
CUGUGAGCUCGAUGAGUAGGGCGGGACACGUGGUAUCCUGUCUGAAUAUGGGGGGACCAUCCUCCAAGGCUAAAUACUCCUGACUGACCGAUAGUGAACCAGUACCGUGAGGGAAAGGCGAAAAGAACCCCGGCGAGGGGAGUGAAAAAGAACCUGAAACCGUGUACGUACAAGCAGUGGGAGCACAGAGCAAUCUGUGUGACUGCGUACCUUUUGUAUAAUGGGUCAGCGACUUAUAUUCUGUAGCAAGGUUAACCGAAUAGGGGAGCCGAAGGGAAACCGAGUCUUAACUGGGCGUUAAGUUGCAGGGUAUAGACCCGAAACCCGGUGAUCUAGCCAUGGGCAGGUUGAAGGUUGGGUAACACUAACUGGAGGACCGAACCGACUAAUGUUGAAAAAUUAGCGGAUGACUUGUGGCUGGGGGUGAAAGGCCAAUCAAACCGGGAGAUAGCUGGUUCUCCCCGAAAGCUAUUUAGGUAGCGCCUCGUGAAUUCAUCUCCGGGGGUAGAGCACUGUUUCGGCAAGGGGGUCAUCCCGACUUACCAACCCGAUGCAAACUGCGAAUACCGGAGAAUGUUAUCACGGGAGACACACGGCGGGUGCUAACGUCCGUCGUGAAGAGGGAAACAACCCAGACCGCCAGCUAAGGUCCCAAAGUCAUGGUUAAGUGGGAAACGAUGUGGGAAGGCCCAGACAGCCAGGAUGUUGGCUUAGAAGCAGCCAUCAUUUAAAGAAAGCGUAAUAGCUCACUGGUCGAGUCGGCCUGCGCGGAAGAUGUAACGGGGCUAAACCAUGCACCGAAGCUGCGGCAGCGACGCUUAUGCGUUGUUGGGUAGGGGAGCGUUCUGUAAGCCUGCGAAGGUGUGCUGUGAGGCAUGCUGGAGGUAUCAGAAGUGCGAAUGCUGACAUAAGUAACGAUAAAGCGGGUGAAAAGCCCGCUCGCCGGAAGACCAAGGGUUCCUGUCCAACGUUAAUCGGGGCAGGGUGAGUCGACCCCUAAGGCGAGGCCGAAAGGCGUAGUCGAUGGGAAACAGGUUAAUAUUCCUGUACUUGGUGUUACUGCGAAGGGGGGACGGAGAAGGCUAUGUUGGCCGGGCGACGGUUGUCCCGGUUUAAGCGUGUAGGCUGGUUUUCCAGGCAAAUCCGGAAAAUCAAGGCUGAGGCGUGAUGACGAGGCACUACGGUGCUGAAGCAACAAAUGCCCUGCUUCCAGGAAAAGCCUCUAAGCAUCAGGUAACAUCAAAUCGUACCCCAAACCGACACAGGUGGUCAGGUAGAGAAUACCAAGGCGCUUGAGAGAACUCGGGUGAAGGAACUAGGCAAAAUGGUGCCGUAACUUCGGGAGAAGGCACGCUGAUAUGUAGGUGAAGUCCCUCGCGGAUGGAGCUGAAAUCAGUCGAAGAUACCAGCUGGCUGCAACUGUUUAUUAAAAACACAGCACUGUGCAAACACGAAAGUGGACGUAUACGGUGUGACGCCUGCCCGGUGCCGGAAGGUUAAUUGAUGGGGUUAGCGCAAGCGAAGCUCUUGAUCGAAGCCCCGGUAAACGGCGGCCGUAACUAUAACGGUCCUAAGGUAGCGAAAUUCCUUGUCGGGUAAGUUCCGACCUGCACGAAUGGCGUAAUGAUGGCCAGGCUGUCUCCACCCGAGACUCAGUGAAAUUGAACUCGCUGUGAAGAUGCAGUGUACCCGCGGCAAGACGGAAAGACCCCGUGAACCUUUACUAUAGCUUGACACUGAACAUUGAGCCUUGAUGUGUAGGAUAGGUGGGAGGCUUUGAAGUGUGGACGCCAGUCUGCAUGGAGCCGACCUUGAAAUACCACCCUUUAAUGUUUGAUGUUCUAACGUUGACCCGUAAUCCGGGUUGCGGACAGUGUCUGGUGGGUAGUUUGACUGGGGCGGUCUCCUCCUAAAGAGUAACGGAGGAGCACGAAGGUUGGCUAAUCCUGGUCGGACAUCAGGAGGUUAGUGCAAUGGCAUAAGCCAGCUUGACUGCGAGCGUGACGGCGCGAGCAGGUGCGAAAGCAGGUCAUAGUGAUCCGGUGGUUCUGAAUGGAAGGGCCAUCGCUCAACGGAUAAAAGGUACUCCGGGGAUAACAGGCUGAUACCGCCCAAGAGUUCAUAUCGACGGCGGUGUUUGGCACCUCGAUGUCGGCUCAUCACAUCCUGGGGCUGAAGUAGGUCCCAAGGGUAUGGCUGUUCGCCAUUUAAAGUGGUACGCGAGCUGGGUUUAGAACGUCGUGAGACAGUUCGGUCCCUAUCUGCCGUGGGCGCUGGAGAACUGAGGGGGGCUGCUCCUAGUACGAGAGGACCGGAGUGGACGCAUCACUGGUGUUCGGGUUGUCAUGCCAAUGGCACUGCCCGGUAGCUAAAUGCGGAAGAGAUAAGUGCUGAAAGCAUCUAAGCACGAAACUUGCCCCGAGAUGAGUUCUCCCUGACUCCUUGAGAGUCCUGAAGGAACGUUGAAGACGACGACGUUGAUAGGCCGGGUGUGUAAGCGCAGCGAUGCGUUGAGCUAACCGGUACUAAUGAACCGUGAGGCUUAACCUUACAACGCCGAAGCUGUU